GAUGAAGAACGUAGCGAAAUGCGAUACUUGGUGUGAAUUGCAGAAUCCCGUGAACCAUCGAGUCUUUGAACGCAAGUUGCGCCCGAAGCAAUUAGGCCGAGGGCACGCCUGCCUGGGCGUCACACGUCGUUGCCCCCCCAUCUACUCCUUCGGGAUUGCGGGGGGCGGAUGAUGGCCUCCCGUGCGCCUCGCCGCGCGGUUGGCAUAAAUGCCAAGUCCUCGGCGACGCACGCCACGACAAUCGGUGGUUGCGAAACCUCGGUUGCCCGUCGUGUGCGGUCGUCGCGCAUCGAGGGCUCGAAAAAAUUGCCGGGUUCCGGCUCGGCUUUCAACGCGACCCCAGGUCAGGCGGGGUUACCCGCUGAAUUUAAGCAUAUCAAUAAGCGGAGGA
rnacentral:misc_RNA from 1 species